rnacentral:rRNA from 1 species
AACGCGAAGAACCUUACCUGCCCUUGACAUCCCGCGAAUCCCGUGGAGACACGGGAGUGCCGAAAGGAGCGCGGAGACAGGUGCUGCAUGGCUGUCGUCAGCUCGUGUUGUGAGAUGUUGGGUUAAGUCCCGUAACGAGCGCAACCCCUGCCCCCAGUUGCCAGCAUUAGGUUGGGGACUCUGGGGGGACUGCCGGUGAGGAACCGGAGGAAGGCGGGGACGACGUCAAGUCAUCAUGGCCCUUAUGGGCAGGGCGACACACGUGCUACAAUGGGGCGCACAGAGGGUCGCGAACCCGCGAGGGGGAGCCAAUCCCUUAAAACGUCCCGCAGUCCGGAUUGGAGUCUGCAACCCGACUCCAUGAAGCUGGAAUCGCUAGUAAUCGCGGAUCAGCACGCCGCGGUGAAUACGUUCCCGGGCCUUGUACACACCGACGCGUA